AGGACGAACGCUGGCGGCGUGCUUAACACAUGCAAGUCGAGCGGAAAGGCCCUUCGGGGUACUCGAGCGGCGAACGGGUGAGUAACACGUGAGUAAUCUGCCCCUAGCUCUGGGAUAGCUCCGGGAAACCGGGAUUAAUACCGGAUACGACCACCUUAGACAUCUUUUGUGGUGGAAAGAAUUUCGGCUAGGGAUGAGCUCGCGGCCUAUCAGCUUGUUGGUGGGGUAACGGCCUACCAAGGCGACGACGGGUAGCCGGCCUGAGAGGGCGACCGGCCACACUGGGACUGAGACACGGCCCAGACUCCUACGGGAGGCAGCAGUGGGAAUAUUGCGCAAUGGGCGAAAGCCUGACGCAGCGACGCCGCGUGGGGGAUGGAAGGCCUUCGGGUUGUAAAGUCCUUUCGACGGGGAAGAUAAUGACGGUACCCGUAGAAGAAGCCCCGGCUAACUUCGCGCCAGCAGCCGC
rnacentral:rRNA from 1 species